rnacentral:rRNA from 1 species
CCUACGGGGGGCAGCAGUGGGGAAUAUUGGACAAUGGGCGAAAGCCUGAUCCAGCCAUGCCGCGUGUGUGAAGAAGGCCUUCGGGUUGUAAAGCACUUUCAGUGGGGAAGAAAGCCUUGGGGCUAAUACCCUCGAGGAAGGACAUCACCCACAGAAGAAGCACCGGCUAACUCCGUGCCAGCAGCCGCGGUAAUACGGAGGGUGCGAGCGUUAAUCGGAAUUACUGGGCGUAAAGCGCGCGUAGGCGGUCUGAUAAGCCGGUUGUGAAAGCCCCGGGCUCAACCUGGGAACGGCAUCCGGAACUGUCAGGCUAGAGUGCAGGAGAGGAAGGUAGAAUUCCCGGUGUAGCGGUGAAAUGCGUAGAGAUCUGGAGGAAUACCAGUGGCGAAGGCGGCCUUCUGGACUGACACUGACGCUGAGGUGCGAAAGCGUGGGUAGCAAACAGGAUUAGAUACCCCUGUAGUC